rnacentral:rRNA from 1 species
GACGAACGCUGGCGGCGUGCUUAACACAUGCAAGUCGAACGGAAAGGCCCUGCUUAUGUGGGGUGCUCGAGUGGCGAACGGGUGAGUAACACGUGAGUAACCUGCCCUUGACUUUGGGAUAACUUCAGGAAACUGGGGCUAAUACCGGAUAGGAGCUCCUGCUGCAUGGUGGGGGUUGGAAAGUUUCGGCGGUUGGGGAUGGACUCGCGGCCUAUCAGCUUGUUGGUGGGGUAGUGGCUUACCAAGGCUUUGACGGGUAGCCGGCCUGAGAGGGUGACCGGCCAAAUUGGGACUGAGAUACGGCCCGGACUCCUACGGGAGGCAGCAGUGGGGAAGAUUGCACAAUGGGAGGAAGCCUGACGCAGCAACGCCGCGUGCGGGAUGACGGCCUUCGGGUUGUAAACCGCUUUCGCCUGUGACGAAGCGUGAGUGACGGUAAUGGGUAAAGAAGCACCGGCUAACUACGUG